rnacentral:rRNA from 1 species
UACGGGGGGGCAAGCGUUGUUCGGAAUUACUGGGCGUAAAGGCUCGUAGGUGGCCAACUAAGUCAGACGUGAAAUCCCCCGGCUUAACCGGGGAACUGCGUCUGAUACUGGAUGGCUUGAGUUCGGGAGAGGGAUGCGGAAUUCCAGGUGUAGCGGUGAAAUGCGUAGAUAUCUGGAGGAACACCGGUGGCGAAGGCGGCAUCCUGGACCGACACUGACGCUGAGGAGCGAAAGCCAGGGAGCAAACGGG